GGAGGAAAGUAGGGGAUCGCAAGACCUUGCGCUAAAGGAGCGCCCGAUGUCUGAUUACCUAGUUGGUGGGGUAAAGGCUUACCAAGGCAACGAUCAGUAUUUGGUCUGAGAGGACGGCCAACCACACUGGGACUGAAACACGGCCCAAACUCCUACGGGAGGCAGCAGUGGGGAAUUUUGGACAAUGGGCGAAAGCCUGAUCCAGCCAUGCCGCGUGAGUGAAGAAGGCCUUCGGGUUGUAAAGCUCUUUUAGUCGGAAAGAAAGAGUUGCAAUGAAUAAUUGUGAUUUAUGACGGUACCGACAGAAAAAGCACCGGCUAACUACGUGCCAGCAGCCGCGGUAAUACGUAGGGUGCGAGCGUUAAUCGGAAUUACUGGGCGUAAAGGGUGCGCAGGCGGUCUUGCAAGUCAGAUGUGAAAGCCCCGGGCUUAACCUGGGAAUUGCGUUUGAAACUACAAAGCUAG
rnacentral:rRNA from 1 species